rnacentral:tRNA from 1 species
UGAUAAAGAGAGGAGUUAAACCCCCGUAGAUAGGACUACAGCCUACCGCCUACCACUCGGCCACUUUACCU